rnacentral:lncRNA from 1 species
AAAACCGAAUCGUAUAACGAAGUAGAAGAAAAAGAAGUAGCAGUAAUAGUAGUAGUAGUAUAAAAUACGCGAGUGAAUAAGGAUGGCUGUAAAAGAGCACGAAUAAAUCUAUUCUGGGAGUUAACGAUGCAGACAGUAGUCCCGGUGAUUGUUCUUCCGGAUGAUGAGUGACAAUUCGAGCGAGUUGGUAGAUCAACGUAGAAAAUGAGAACACGAAAGAGCAACAACGUCGACAAUUUGAAACAAUUGCGGACGUUGCGUGUGUAAGUAUUACACACGUCCCACGGGUGCAUGAGUUUAAAAGAGAUUCGGAUGGGGGCAGAAGUACGA